rnacentral:rRNA from 1 species
GACGGACGCUGGCGGCAUGCCUAACACAUGCAAGUCGAGCGAGUAGAUCCCUUCGGGGUGAAGCUAGCGGCGGACGGGUGAGUAACACGUGGGCAACCUGCCUCAUAGAGGGGAAUAGCCUUCCGAAAGGAAGAUUAAUACCGCAUAAGAUUGUAGCUUCGCAUGAAGCAGCAAUUAAAGGAGCAAUCCGCUAUGAGAUGGGCCCGCGGCGCAUUAGCUAGUUGGUGAGGUAACGGCUCACCAAGGCGACGAUGCGUAGCCGACCUGAGAGGGUGAUCGGCCACAUUGGGACUGGGACACGGCCCAGACUCCUACGGGAGGCAGCAGUGGGGAAUAUUGCACAAUGGGGGAAACCCUGAUGCAGCAAUGCCGCGUGAGUGAUGACGGCCUUCGGGUUGUAAAGCUCUGUCUUCGGGGACGAUAAUGACGGUACCCGAGGAGGAAGCCACGGCUAACUACGUGCCAGCAGCCGCCGUAA